rnacentral:lncRNA from 1 species
AGCAGAUCAGCCGCUGGGGAAAUACCAGAGGGGAUUUGACAGCUGGGCCAGGUGUUCCAGGACAGCACUUUCCAAAAGAUUUUCCAUCCAAACUUCCAGCAAGAAGUAGAUCUUCCAUCGUUAUCCAGAGCAUAUCUACGCAUUCAGGUAACUGAAGCAACAUUCCAGGAACCCUCACCAUCCCUCCCGUUGAACAGUUCGCUCUCCAGCUGGAGUCAGCUCUGGGCUGCCUCACUUUAACAAAAUGCUGGUUGCAGCCAUUGGAAUUAAUUUUACACCCUCUGAGUUGCAGUGCAAAAUUUGAAGACUGGCAUUUGGAAGCUCAGUAUCAUCAAGGAUUCAUUUAUUUUAUGAUGGUUGACAACAUUUUCCAGGCCACACUAACUGGGUCAGCUGGUAAUAAUAAUAAUAUGAUAAUUGGCCGGGCACGAUGGCUCACGCCUGUAAUCCCAGCUCUUUGGGAGGCUGAGGUGGGCUGAUCGCCUGAGAUCAGGAGUUCGGGACCAGCCUGAUCAACAUGGUGAAACCCCGUCUCUACUAGAAACACAAAAAUUUAGCAUGAUGGCGGGCACCUGUAGACCAGCUGCCUGGGAGGCUGAAGCAGGAGAAUUGCUCGAACCCGGGAGGCAGAGGCCACAGUGAGCCGAGAUAGCACCAUUGCACUUCAGCCUGGGCAGCAGAGUGAAACUCCAUCUCAAAAUAAUAAUAAUAAUAAUAAUAAUAAGCCCCUGAAGGUAUUACACAUGCAGCACUUUCCAGUUUAAAAAGGACUUUCAAAGGACAAGUAGUGUAUGGUCCCAUCCAUAGGAGGUAUCCAGAGUACCCAAAUAUAGAGAUGGGAACUAGCAUGGUGGGUGCCAGGGGCUGGGGGAGGGAGGAAUGGGAAGUUGGUGUUGAAUGGGGACAGAAUUUGAGUUCUGCAAGAUGAAAAAGAUCUAGACAUGCCAUUGCACUCCAGCCUGGGCAACAGAGUGAGACUCCGUCUCAAAAAAAAAAAAGAAAAAGCCAGUUGCGGUGGCUCACGCCUGUAAACCCAGCACUUUGGGAGGCCGAGGCAGGUGGAUCAUGAGGUCAGGAGUUUGAGACCAGCCUGACCAACAUGCUGAAACCCCAUCUCUACUAAUAAUACAAAAAUUAGCUGGCAUGGUGGUGGGCGCCUGUAAUCCCAGCUACUCAGGAGGCUGAGACAGGAGAAUCGCUUGAACCCGGGAGAAAGAGAUUGCCAUGAGCUAAGAUUGCGCCACUGCACUCCAGCCUGGGCAACAGAGCAAGACUCUGAAAAAAGAAAAAUCUAGAAAUGGAUGGUGGUGAUGGUUGCACGACAUUGUGAAUGUAGUUAAUGCCACUGAACUGUGUACUUAAAAAUGGUCAAGAUGGGCCAGGCGCGGUGGCUCACACCUGUGAUCCCAGCACUUUGGGAGGCCCAGGCGGGUGGAUCAUGAGGUUAGGAGAUCGAGACCAGCCUGGCCAACAUGGUGAACCCCAUCUCUACUAAAAAUACAAAAAUUAGCUUGUCGUGGUGGUGCAUGCCUGUAAUCCCAGCUACUCAGGAGGCUGAGGCAGGAGAAUCGCUUGAACCAGGGAUUCGGAGGUUUCAGUGAGCUGAGAUCACGCCACACUGCACUCCAGCCUGGCGACACAGCAAGACUCUCAAAAAAAAAAAAAAGGUCAAGAUGAUAAAUUUUAGGUUGUGUGUAUGUUACUGCUUUUUCACAGAUGAAGAAAACAACACUGACAUGCAUUAUCUCCCAACACCAACCUCAACCCAGCCCUGGAGUGUGAGCAGAGCCAGCAGCAUUUCCAGCCCCGCCUCUGGAGGAAGGAGAGGAACCUGAGACUCUUGGGUGACCUGAGGCGUCUCUGGCAGCACCAGCAAAAGAGCCUGGCCCUGGCCGCCCAGCACAGGUGCUCAGUCCCUCCUGACUGCCACUGCUCCCUCAACACCAAAGCACAGGGUCGCGAGAUGUUGGGAGAGGGUCGGGGAUGCUGGGCUGGGAGAGGACCGGGGGCCUGUCAGAAGCCAUGACAUGAUGCACUCACCGCUCAGGAGGAAGCUACUGGCCUUUGAGUGAAAUCUAUAAGAAUGAACUCUGGAGAUGUAUCGUACAACAUGGAGUCUACAGUUAAAAACUGUAUUGUAUACUGGAAAAUUGCUAAGAUUAGAUCUUCCAUGUUCUCACUACAAAAGCAUAAGUAUGUGAGAUGACGGACGUGUGUGUCAGCUUGAUUUAAUCAUUUUGCAGUGUGGCAAAGCAUCGCACUGUAGGUGGUAAAUAUAUAUACAGUUUUGUCAAUUAUACCUUCAGGAAGCUGGGGUGGUUGGUGUGUGUGUGUGUGUCUGUGUGAUGUGAGGUCAGUGAGGUGCUGAACAUGGUGCAUUAAACAGCA